rnacentral:lncRNA from 1 species
AUGGGGCGGGGGUCGGGGGAGUGUGGGGGGGCGCCCCUCCAGCCCUUCUCCCUCCUGCUCCCAGCCAGGCUGCUGUGCCCGUCAUGGGUGCUGUGGCCGCACCUGGCCAUGCCUGGCCUCUGUGCGGAGGGCCCACCUGCAGCCCCUGUGGCCUUCUGGGAGCUCCCUUUGCUGGGCUGCUGGGUCCCCUGCUUGUUUGGCCUCCUCUGCUGUUCCUGGACCCACCCCAGCAUCAGCCUCUGGCCUCGCUCCUGUGAACUCAGGGCCGUCCCCUGGUCCUGCGUCUAUGCUUGCUGCGAGAUGCCUACAUUGCUCUUGUGGGCUCCAAAAGGACUGGAUGACAGCUCCAGUCAAGGUCACCCACGAUCAGUGCCUCCCUCACUGCCCAUGUCCUUCAAUCUGGCCUGUGACUUUACGGGGCUACAGGUGAUGAGCCCGUGGACUUCUCCCAUCAUCUCAGUCCAACCUUCCAUCUUAGCCCAGCUCCAGCUCAGAAGCUGUCCCUGGCCAGAGCACGACCCCAGCAGCUUCUCCUGGGAGGCGGCCACGGGACCUGCUCCCCCUUCCCUGUUCACUGCCCCCUUCCCCGCGCUGCACAGGAGAUUGCUCUUGCAGCGGGCCUGGUGGCCCCUAAUGACUGCCUCCGUGGGCUCUCUGGCCGUAUCGAUCCAGCCUGCAUCUCUGCCUCUUGUUUAUUCUCUCCACACGCCGGGGUUUCCAUGCCAACGCAGGCUUCAGGUGCAUUUUCCGUGUCUCUCUUCUGUUUCCCCUUUGUGGGCUUUGUUUUCUGUCUGCUUCGUAAAUGGGGGUGAGACUCUUAUUCUUGGGCCUCUUCCCUCUCUCUUCUCAGCGUAUUCUAGGGCCAGUUCACCCAAGUCCAUGGCUACAACCACUAUCAGUUGCAACCCAAAUCUCUUGCUUAAAUCUUAUGCAGGAAUCCAGACCCUUUACCUAGCUCCUUGCAGGCUACCUCCACCUGGAUGCCCACCUCUGACUCAGUGUAUCCAAAACUGA